rnacentral:rRNA from 1 species
UUGAACGCUGGCGGCAUGCUUUACACAUGCAAGUCGAACGGCAGCGGGGGCUUCGGCCUGCCGGCGAGUGGCGAACGGGUGAGUAAUGCAUCGGAACGUACCCAGUCGUGGGGGAUAACUACGCGAAAGCGUGGCUAAUACCGCAUACGCCCUGAGGGAGAAAGCGGGGGAUCGCAAGACCUCGCGCGAUUGGAGUGGCCGAUGUCAGAUUAGCUAGUUGGUGGGGUAAAGGCCUACCAAGGCGACGAUCUGUAGCGGGUCUGAGAGGAUGAUCCGCCACACUGGGACUGAGACACGGCCCAGACUCCUACGGGAGGCAGCAGUGGGGAAUUUUGGACAAUGGGCGAAAGCCUGAUCCAGCCAUGCCGCGUGCGGGAAGAAGGCCUUCGGGUUGUAAACCGCUUUCAGCCGGAAAGAAAUCGGGCGCGUGAAUAGCGUGCCUGGAUGACGGUACUGUCAGAAGAAGCACCGGCUAACUACGU